CUAAGCAUAUAAAAUAGUGCAGUGGGUACUUUACCACUAAACUGUUUAACGGUACGUUUAUUUCUUGUAACUAAAGUUACAUGUUUAAACGGUUUGACUCGGGAAAUUUUAUUUUUUCUAAUAAUAGGUCAAUGGAUGACAAAUGUAAACUCAAACGCAAUAACUGGUUUAUUUUUAGCCAGAUGAACUAAGUGUUUUGUAUAUAAAAGCUCUUGAAAUACCGGGGAUUAUCAUAACCGCAUUAACAUUAUGAAGAACGUUUAAUAACAGAUAAAUGCUUUCAUAAGAUCCCUAAUUAAAUUACUCAUCUUCGGUGCUACAAAUAUCCUUUCCAAGAACGGAAAAAUGAGUUGGGGAAAUUCUUGGUCAGGAAACAGUUUCAGCAGUGGAAGUGGACGAAGUUGGGGAAACAGUUCAUGGGGAAACAGCUCCGGAAAUAAAGAUCCGGAGGGUACUCAUAAUGCUUCAUGUAUUGCCGGAUCGGGCAGUUGGGGUAACAGCGGACUUAUGAAGAGUUAUUAUGAUGAACGUUGUUCAGGUUGUCGACAUGAUAGGGCAAAAUCUCCGUUGGGUUCUCCACCCUCAGGUGGUAAUCCUGCACUGAAAAUGGCAGCUUUAUUCGGAAUUGGAGUUAUUGCAAAGAAAAGUCUUUGGGAUUAAAAAAAACAGUAUGAAAGUGUGAAACAAGUUUUGAACUGAUGAAAAUGCCCAAUACCUAUUAUGUGAGCUUGUAAUAAAUCGUUAUUCCUACCUACCUAAUUGGUAAGCAAAUACGUCAGAUUUAGUCUAUGCAAAUAGGCAAAAGGUGUUUUAUAGAUUUGAACAUGCAUGUAUUAUACAUGUAGGACUGAUUUGAAACCUACAGAAGCCAAGAGCAGAGUAAGACAAACAUUUUCUUUUCAAGAAACGGUUCAACAACAAAACCCUCUUUCAGACUUGUAUUUGUAUCACAGCUAAUGAAUAAAUAACGGUUUUCAGGAAAGCCGUAACGUAGGUAAUUCUUAUUUCAAAUUAACUAAUGAGAGGGUAAAUGUGUAUGAUACAAACGUGCAAUAAAAUGAAGAAUAAUAAAAUCGGACAAUGUGCAAUAUAAGACUAACUUUUUCUGAAAUUACUAAAUUAAAUGCAAUUUUGAAUAAAGAUUAGUAUCAUAUGUGUAAUCCAAUACUUCAUUAUACGUAUGAAAGUGUUGUUUUUUUCUUCAGUACAUAUACAUAUAAAGUAUUGGUAUAGAUGUUGGUGUUCAAUAUCUAAUCAAAUGUUGCUUUGUUUUAUGACUGUUGUGUAACAUCACAAUUAAAGUAUUAAAAUUAAAAAAAUGUCAAAGUGUA